rnacentral:rRNA from 1 species
GACGGAGGAUGCAAGUGUUAUCCGGAAUCACUGGGCGUAAAGCGUCUGUAGGUGGUUCGAAAAGUCCACUGUUAAAGAUUGAGGCUUAACUUCAAAAAUGCCGUGGAAACUUUCAAACUAGAGUUUGGUAGGGGUAGAGGGAAUUUCCAGUGGAGCGGUGAAAUGCGUAGAUAUUGGAAAGACCACCGAUGGCGAAGGCACUCUACUGGGCCAUUACUGACACUGAGAGACGAAAGCUAGGGGAGCAAAUGGG